rnacentral:tRNA from 1 species
GGUGGCUCAAUGGUAGAGCACUUGCCUUGCAUGCAUGAGGCCCUGGGUUCGAUUCCCCAGCACCA